rnacentral:rRNA from 1 species
UACGAAGGGGGCUAGCGUUGUUCGGAAUUACUGGGCGUAAAGCGUGCGCAGGCGGUUCGUACAGUCAGACGUGAAAUUCCCGGGCUCAACCUGGGGGCUGCGUUUGAUACGUACGGGCUUGAGUUCGGAAGAGGGUCGUGGAAUUCCCAGUGUAGAGGUGAAAUUCGUAGAUAUUGGGAAGAACACCGGUGGCGAAGGCGGCGACCUGGUCCGAUACUGACGCUGAGGCGCGAAAGCGUGGGGAGCAAACAGG